GAUGAACGCUGGCGGCGUGCCUAAUACAUGCAAGUCGAGCGAACAGACGAGGAGCUUGCUCCUCUGACGUUAGCGGCGGACGGGUGAGUAACACGUGGAUAACCUACCUAUAAGACUGGGAUAACUUCGGGAAACCGGAGCUAAUACCGGAUAAUAUAUUGAACCGCAUGGUUCAAUAGUGAAAGACGGUUUUGCUGUCACUUAUAGAUGGAUCCGCGCCGCAUUAGCUAGUUGGUAAGGUAACGGCUUACCAAGGCAACGAUGCGUAGCCGACCUGAGAGGGUGAUCGGCCACACUGGAACUGAGACACGGUCCCGACUCCUACGGGAGGCAGCAGUAGGGAAUCUUCCGCAAAGGGCGAAAGCCUGACGGAGCAACGCCGCGUGAGUGAUGAAGGUCUUCGGAUCGUAAAACUCUGUUAUUAGGGAAGAACAAAUGUGUAAGUAACUAUGCACGUCUUGACGGUACCUAAUCAGAAAGCCACGGCUAACUACGUG
rnacentral:rRNA from 1 species